rnacentral:rRNA from 1 species
GGAGUCUAGCAUGUGCGCGAGUCAUUGGGACUAGCGAAACCUAAAGGCAUAAUGAAAGUGAAGGCGCGUCUUGUGCGUGCCGAGGGAGGAUGGGGCGUGUCACGACACGCCUCCGCACUCCCGGGGCGUUUCAUUCUCAUUGCGAGAAGAGGCGCACCCAGAGCGUACACGCUGGGACCCGAAAGAUGGUGAACUAUGCCUGGUCAGGACGAAGUCAGGGGAAACCCUGAUGGAGGUCCGUAGCGAUUCUGACGUGCAAAUCGAUCGUCGGAACUGGGUAUAGGGGCGAAAGACUAAUCGAACCAUCUAGUAGCUGGUUCCCUCCGAAGUUUCCCUCAGGAUAGCUGGUGCUCGAUUUGCGAGUCUCAUCCGGUAAAGCGAAUGAUUAGAGGCAUUGGGGUCGAAACGGCCUCAACCUAUUCUCAAACUUUAAAUGGGUGAGAUCUCCGGCUUGCUUAGAUGUUGAAGCCGCGAGAUUUUCAAAGGAUCAGAGUGCCAAGUGGGCCAUUUUUGGUAAGCAGAACUGGCGCUGUGGGAUGAACCAAACGCUGAGUUAAAGCGCCUAAAUCGACGCUUAUGGGAUACCAUGAAAGGCGUUGGUAACUUAAGACAGCAGGACGGUGGCCAUGGAA